UACUAUACCACCAAGCUUCGGAAUAACAAAUCCGCAUUAAUAAUCAAAUGAAAACAGAACCAUAAUAGUCACAAAACAUUUAAUUUUAAAGUGAGCUAAUAUAUCAAUAUCCACUUCAUAGACCAAAUAAAGUGCAUACAUGACAACAACAAAAUACAUAGCGAGCCUUGCAUAGAGUAAAACUCGCCAUACCAUAUGUCACUAGAUGUGAUCGUGCAGUUUCUUCCACCACGGUCAAAAGCAUCUCUCACUUGUUCAUUUUUGCCAAAAGACGGGCAUACAAUCAGCAUUGCGUAGAGGCAAACUCGCCAUGUUUGCAAAGGUCCUAGAAGGCACUACAGUAUAAAAAUGUAUUUGUAACUAAAUAAAUUUUGUUGUGAGAUCUGAAAUCGAAAGCAUGCAAGAGUGUAGAUGGUUAGAUGAAACAUACCGACAAGGCACUAAAGAAAAUCACGAGG
rnacentral:lncRNA from 1 species